rnacentral:rRNA from 1 species
CUGGGACACGAAUCCAGACCCCACGGGGUGCAGCAGGCGCGAAAACUUGGCAAUGCGAGCAAUCGUGACCAGGGAACUCCAAGUGCAUCGGGUAAGACCGAUGCUUUUCUUGACUCUUCAACGGUCUUGGAAUAAGGGGUGGGUAAGGACGGUGCCAGCCGCCGCGGUAAUACCGGCACCUCAAGUGGUCGUCGCUUUUAUUGGGCCUAAAACGUCCGUAGCCGGUCUGGUGCAUUCGUGGGUAAAUCAACCCGCUCAACGGGUUGAAUUCUGCGAGCACGGCCAGACUAGGGACUGGGAGAGGUGUGGGGUACUCUCGGGGUAGGGGUAAAAUCCUGUCAUCCCGAGGGGACCACCUGUUGCGAAGGCGCCACACUAGAACGGAUCCGACGGUCAGGGACGAAGCCUAGGGGCACGAACCGGAUUAGAUACCCGGGUAGUCCUAGGUGUAAACGCUGUGGACUUGAUGUUGGGGGCGCUCCGAGCGCUUUCAGUGUCGAAGCGAAGGUGAUAAGUCCACUGCCUGGGGAGUACGGUCGCAAGGCUGAAACUUAAAGGAAUUGGCGGGGGAGCACUGCAACGUGUGGAGCGUGCGGUUUAAUUGGAUUCAACGCCGGAAAACUCACCGGGGGCGACGGUUACAUGAAGGCCAAGCUGAUGACUUUGCCUGAUUUUCCGAGAGGUGGUGCAUGGCCGCCGUCAGUUCGUACCGUAAGGCGUUCUGUUAAGUCAGAUAACGAACGAGACCCUCAUCCCUAUUUGCCAGCUGCGUCCCCGGACACAGCGCACUAUAGGGAGACCGCUGUCGAUAAGGCAGAUGAAGGCGAGGGCAACGGUAGGUCAGUAUGAUCCGAAUGCCAUGGGCUACACGCGCAAUACAAAGGACGGGACAAUGGGCUGCAACUCCGAGAGGAACGACGCUAUCCCGAAACCCGUUCGUAGUUCGGAUUGAGGGCUGUAAUUCGCCCUCAUGAAGCUGGAUUAGGUAGUAAUCGCGUCUCAAUAGGGCGCGGUGAAUAUGCCCCUGCUCCUUGCACACACCGCCCGUCAAACCAUCUUAGUUGGGGGUGGGUGAGGCUGCCUUAACCAUGGGGUAUUCGAGCCUGCCUUCGACAAGGAGGGUUAAGUCGUAACAAGGUAUCUGUA